GGCACCGUGAACCUCUAGGGACUUGGGAAAAUAUUUUGCAUAUUUAUUCAAGAGAGAAAUCGACCCAUGCCUAGAAGGGUCCAGGGCCCAGCUGGUGUCAACAUCUGCAGUCUAGUACUCCCUCUGGGUCUUGGGCCCUAGACUCACUUUAAACCAGGUAGAUUAUGCCGGCGCCCUCGGCUCCGCGGGUGGCGGGACCUGCUCAGCUCCAGCGCCGCCACCUCGGCUUCAGCUCACCAUUGGGAUCGCGAGCGGAGUCUGGAGCCCCUAAUCCUGCCGUGCGCACCGUCAGCUAGAGCCAUUGGCCACCAGUAGCGAUAACCGAGUGGGCUAGGGACCAGAGUAGAAGAAUCAGUCAGCUGGGUUGGGAGCGCCCCACCGUGCCGCGCUGUGUCCCCGCCUCGGGGGUCCGGGUCUUGGGGCGGGGACUGGGGCCCCGCCAGGCCCGGGGGUGGCGCGGGCAGGAGGAGGGGCUCCAGAGCGGGGCAGGGGCGGAGCGAGCGGCCGC
rnacentral:lncRNA from 1 species